UACGUAGGGUGCAAGCGUUAAUCGGAAUUACUGGGCGUAAAGCGUGCGCAGGCGGUUAUGUAAGACAGAUGUGAAAUCCCCGGGCUCAACCUGGGAACUGCAUUUGUGACUGCAUAGCUAGAGUACGGUAGAGGGGGAUGGAAUUCCGCGUGUAGCAGUGAAAUGCGUAGAUAUGCGGAGGAACACCGAUGGCGAAGGCAAUCCCCUGGACCUGUACUGACGCUGAUGCACGAAAGCUAGGGGAGCAAACAGG
rnacentral:rRNA from 1 species